GACGAACGCUGGCGGCGUGCUUAACACAUGCAAGUCGAACGGAAAGGCCCUGCUUUUGUGGGGUGCUCGAGUGGCGAACGGGUGAGUAACACGUGAGUAACCUGCCCUUGACUUUGGGAUAACUUCAGGAAACUGGGGCUAAUACCGGAUAGGAGCUCCUGCUGCAUGGUGGGGGUUGGAAAGUUUCGGAGGUUGGGGAUGGACUCGCGGCUUAUCAGCUUGUUGGUGGGGUAGUGGCUUACCAAGGCUUUGACGGGUAGCCGGCCUGAGAGGGUGACCGGCCACAUUGGGACUGAGAUACGGCCCAGACUCCUACGGGAGGCAGCAGUGGGGAAUAUUGCACAAUGGGCGGAAGCCUGAUGCAGCAACGCCGCGUGCGGGAUGACGGCCUUUGGGUUGUAAACCGCUUUCGCCUGUGACGAAGCGUGAGUGACGGUAAUGGGUAAAGAAGCACCGGCUAACUACGUG
rnacentral:rRNA from 1 species